rnacentral:rRNA from 1 species
CCUUGGUGCUCAACGCCUAGUUGGAACCACGCCAAUCCAUCCCGAACUUGGCGGUGAAAAAGCUAGGGGAGUCGAAGAACUUGACGGGAGACUGUCUGGAAGAUCGACUCUAGUGCCAAGG